rnacentral:sRNA from 1 species
CGGGUUUACUCCUGGAAAUUACCGUAACGUUCAAUUAACACUGAACGUCGUUUUGGUGUCUGAUUCGGUAAAGAAUCGGGAGCACCAUCUGCGUAGGCUUUAGGUUUAAGACUUGCGUCGCCUACGGUCUUGGAUAGCCCCCGCCAGGCAGGGACCCCAAUAUGUAAGUUGCCGCAAUCACUUGCGCCA